GAUGAACGCUGGCGGCGUGCCUAAUACAUGCAAGUCGAGCGAACAGAUGAGGAGCUUGCUCCUCUGACGUUAGCGGCGGACGGGUGAGUAACACGUGGAUAACCUACCUAUAAGACUGGGAUAACUUCGGGAAACCUGAGCUAAUACCGGAUAAUAUAUUGAACCGCAUGGUUCAAUAGUUAAAUACGGUUUUGCUGUCACUUAUAGAUGGAUCCGCGCCGCAUUAGCUAGUUGGUAAGGUAACGGCUUACCAAGGCAACGAUGCGUAGCCGACCUGAGAGGGUGAACGGCCACAUUGGAACUGAGAAACGGUCCAGACUCCUACGGGAGGCAGCAGUAGGGAAUAUUCCGCAAAGGGCGAAAGCAUGACGGAGCAACGCCGCGUGAGUGAUGAAGGUCUUCGGAUCGUAAAACUCUGUUAUUAGGGAAGAACAAAUGUGUAAGUAACUAUGCACGUCUUGACGGUACCUAAUCAGAAAGCCACGGCUAACUACGUG
rnacentral:rRNA from 1 species